rnacentral:rRNA from 1 species
GUGGAGCAAUCCACGAGACCCAUACACAGGUGCUGCAUGGUUGUCGUCAGCUCGUGUCGUGAGAUGUACGGUUAAGUCCGUGAACGAGCGCAACCCCUGCCCUUAGUUGCUAAUAUGCGAAAGCAUAUGCACUCUAAGGGGACCGCCAGCGGAAAGCUGGAGGAAGGUGGGGAUGACGUCAAAUCCUCAUGGCCUUUAUGUCCAGGGCUACACACAUGCGACAAUGGUCGAGACAACGCGUUGCAAACCAGUAAUGGUAAGCUAAUCGCAUAAAAUCGACCUCAGUACGGAUUGAGGGUUGCAAUUCACCCUCAUGAAGCUGGAGUUGCUAGUAACCGCAGGUCAGCUAUACUGCGAUGAAUACGUUCCCGGGGCUU